GUGAAUUUGGGGGCACCCUGCUCCGCCCGCCGCGUGAGUGAAGAAGGCCUUCGGGUUGUAAAGCUCUUUCGGACGGAACGAAAUGGGCGGGACUAAUACUCCUGUCUGACGACGGUACCGUAAGAAGAAGCACCGGCUAACUACGUGCCAGCAGCCGCGGUAAUACGUAGGGUGCGAGCGUUAAUCGGAAUUACUGGGCGUAAGGCGUGCGCAGGCGGUUUCGUAAGCUGGAGGUGAAAUCCCCGGGCUUAACCUGGGAAUGGCCUUCAGGACUGCGAGGCUAGAGUGCGGCAGAGGGAGGUGGAAUUCCACGUGUAGCAGUGAAAUGCGUAGAGAUGUGGAGGAACACCGAUGGCGAAGGCAGCCUCCUGGGAUAACACUGACGCUCAUGCACGAAA
rnacentral:rRNA from 1 species